UAAUUAGAAAACUUGACAACCUACGACAUCGCUCCAUAUCUUGAAUCCAACUUACCACAUUAUAAAGUUAGACUGUUUAGCCAGAUAAGGAUUUCCAUGCAUACUGAAGCCAUCGUUCUCCACUUGAAAGGUGUCAAAUAUACAAUCAACCCUCAGGUACCUUGUCUACUGUG